rnacentral:rRNA from 1 species
CCUACGGGAGGCAGCAGUGGGGGAUAUUGCACAAUGGGGGGAACCCUGAUGCAGCGACGCCGCGUGGGUGAAGAAGCGCCUCGGCGCGUAAAGCCCUGUCAGCAGGGAAGAAAAUGACGGUACCUGAAGAAGUAGCCCCGGCUAACUACGUGCCAGCAGCCGCGGUAAUACGUAGGGGGCAAGCGUUAUCCGGAUUUACUGGGUGUAAAGGGGGCGCAGACGGCGAUGCAAGCCAGGAGUGAAAGCCCGGGGACCAACCCCGGGACUGCUCUUGGAACUGCGUGGCUGGAGUGCAGGAGGGGCAGGCGGAAUUCCUGGUGUAGCGGUGAAAUGCGUAGAUAUCAGGAGGAACACCGGUGGCGAAGGCGGCCUGCUGGACUGCAACUGACGUUGAGGCCCGAAAGCGUGGGGAGCAAACAGGAUUAGAUACCCUGGUAGUC